UAUAUUUGCAACGACCGCAUUGUCCUUUUUAUAAGGCAUAGUUGGGCGUGAUCAUAGCUCUAAUUGAAACUGAACAUUUAUUCUUUUAAUCUUUCUGUUUGUUUCAAUACUGUGCUAGAUUUGGAGGAAAACUAUGGAAGGCUCAUUUGAUUAUUGAAUUUUUCUGUUAAAACAAUAUAAUGUAGUAAUAAUUUCUGUCUUAAGUCAGACAAUAUCAUUAUACCUAGAUACCUUUUCUAUUAUGGCUGCAAUAACUUAUGAAUUAUUUAUAAAUCUAAAGAAAUUGAUUUCAAAGUAGAAUCUAUUUAGUUUUUAAUAUGCUUAAAUGUUUGUUGUAUCUCUUAAGUGGUGAUACUAUCAUCUGUAGGGGCAGUUGAUUUAUCAUAUUUGCUUGAGCAAGUAGAGGUCUAUAUUUACAAGGUUAAAGAGGAAGCUUUUAGUUGGAGACGUAUUCAUGAAAAGGUGGAGAAACAGUUGGUUGCAUGCGGCAAGGAAUGUUGACUAGAGUACAGUAGAGUUUGAUAUUAUAUUGUGUUUUUUAAUGCAUUCAUAAUAUAUUCAUGUAUGCUUUGCAGCAUAGUCUUUUAUAAUAUAUUCCACUUUUGCUCUUUAUAUUUUAUAUGUCAAAUGAAAAUAGUUUUUCCUUUCGUUGUCCUUUGCUUAAAUUUGGGGGUAUUAGUGUAUCUCCAGUUACUUCUCCUCAAUAUUGUAAGCAGAGUGUGUGAUAUAUCACUUACACAUAUGUAGUCUCUUUGUUAGCUUGUUUGGUUUCUCAUGUAACCUAGAAUCUUUAAUAUCAUUAAGCAUAUCUUUCUUUUUCCGUAAUAUGGUUAGGAUUUAUAAAAUAUUAACGUUAUAGGUCGUAAUAUAUCUGCAUCAAACCCUUCUCUCGCUCUCAAUUAAGGUGGUGUACAGGCCAGGGUAACUGACUAUUCCACGCUACCUGUAUAUGUAUGAAGUAACUGUACCCACUUUUCUGAUACUCAUAAGCGACGUUAUUUGCUAUUCAGGUUUGCACUGACUUAUUAUGGUUCAGCCCCAAAGAUAAAGCCGAAGCAACAUCUGUCUCGCUGCAUGUCUUUUUGCUAUUGGUGGUGGAAUAGAUGGAAUGUCAUUCAGGCUUGGACAUACUUUUGUGGUUAGGCCGCAAAGGUAAAGGCCAGGCAACAACUGUCUCGCUACAUGUCCUUGGGAGCAAUGGCUCGAGAUAUCCGAUGAAAUUGUCGAUGCUCAAAAAAGCUGGAGUGGACAACACUAUUGUUUUAAAACCCUACUACAUUAUAAUGAAAAGGGAUAAUUACCAUGGUGUCUCGUAAUCAGUGGCGAAACUAGAAAAUUCAAUAAGGGUAUUCAAAUUUUGAUCAAGGGUGUUUAAAAUUUAUUUUUUAAUCAAUAACAUGUAAUAUUUUACCUUAUACGUAGUAUAAUUAUUUCGCGAAGAGUGUUCAGUUGACCACCCUUGGGUCAAAGCUUCGCCCCUGCUCGUAGCGUGAAAAUGGAAAACCAGCUCGUUCUUUCUUAUAUUCUUAUCUGCUAAUUGGGGUGGAUAGUGGUAGACAGAGGCGGAUUCAGGAUUUUAAUUUUAUGGGUUUAAUAUUUAUUGUUUAUUGCAUUGAACCAAUUAAAAUUUUAAAGUUAUGGGUUCAUAUCUA